AAGUUUCUUUUUAUUGUUUGAUAUAAUAAUGUGAUUGUCAGACAAUUAACUAAUAACCAAAGUAAUAAAGUAAGGUUUAAAAACACAUAAAAUUCAUGUUUGAUUGAGAAAUCUUUGCAGCUGUUAAUGCAGAAACAAAAAUGAGAUGUUUUAACGAAGAAAAACAAUUAUGUUUAAAAUGUUACUGGAAGAAAGUAAAAAAAAAAAAGACAAAUGUGUGAAAAUGGAAAAAAUAUAUACUUUUUUUUAUCAUGUUUCUCUUUAAUUCAGAAACUUCUGUUUCUAUGGUUCAUCAGUGAUGCCUGUCUGUUACCAUGGUUACUGAUCUCAGAGAGGGAAGUGAAACUCUCAGCAGUUUGAUCUCAGCUCUAAAAUGUUUUGUCUGUUUCUCUGCAGUGGGACAUGUGCCCCCCUCCCUGACCGUGCUCCUCCCCUCCACCAAGGAGCUGCAGCAGGGGAAGGCCACACUCAUGUGUGUGGCCAACAAGGGCUUCCCCUCAGACUGGACUCUGUCCUGGAAGGUGGUCGGCAGCAGCAGCAGCAACUGGGAGGAGAGCAGGAGCCCCGGGGUGCUGCAGAAGGACGGCCUCUACAGCUGGAGCAGCACCCUGAGGCUCUCUGCAGACCAGUGGGAGAAGGUGACCUGUGAGGCCAAGAGAGGAUCCCAGACUGCAGUCUCAGAGACUCUCAGGAGAGACCAGUGCUCCCAGUCCUGAACACAACCAUUCUGGAUAUAAAUCUGUUU